rnacentral:lncRNA from 1 species
CCUAUUCUUGAGCUAAGGAGAAAUGUCUGGAUUGCAAGCAAGAAAUUAGAGGGUCCAAAGCAUAUAUUUAGUAUUUUAAACAAUAAGAAUAUUAAAUAUUAAAUUUUAGCGGGGGAUGUAAAGUGAGAAAAGAAGACUUAAAAAUUCCUGCAAAACAGCCAUAGUUAGGGGUUAAUGAAUAAGAUGCAAUCAAAAUUUGAGAAGGAAAGAAGAAAAAAGGAGUUCUGUCCCACAAGCUUAGAGAGUAAGAGUUUAUUUUUACCAGCUUUAUUGAAAUAUAAUUGACAAAUUAAAACUUGUGUAUGUUUAAGGUAUACGAUGAUGGGUGGUUUGAUAUAAAUAUACAUUUUUAAAUGAUUCACAAUCAGAUGAAUACAUCAUUCUCCUCCCUCGGUUACUGUGUGUGUUUGCAUAUGUAUGAAUGUGGGGGAGAGGGUGAGAAUACUUAGUAUCUAUUCUGUUAAUAAAUUUCAAGUUUACCAUACAGUGUAUUCACUAUACUGUUAUUCAUUAUACUGUUCAUUAGGUCCUCAUCUUAUAACCAAAAGUUUGUACCCUUUAACCUACAUUUCCUCAUACCCAGUCCCUGGCAACCUCAGUUUGCUUUUUGUUUGGAAGGAAAAAGAGAAAAAUCAAUGCCAUCUGCCACAAAGAAGUCACAUAAGGACAGAAAAGACUAGUGAAUUUAUGGACUUAGAUUCUGAAUGAGCUUCAUUCUCUCCAGACUAAGUAGACUUUUUAAAAGUCCUUCAUUCAAAAAUUAAAACAUAUUCCCCUCAAAGAUUCACAUUCUCCUAAUGUUCCAAUAAAAUGAUCUGGUGUAAUGGGGAGAACAACGACUCACAUUUGA